CAAUACCCCUCGUGGGUAGCAAUUAUUAGAUUGAAACCAACCCCUUUGGGGUGAUGUGGUGAUUCAUAAUAAAUAGUGCGGAUCGCACGGCUUACGCCGGCGACGGAUCUUUCAAGUUUCUGCCCUAUCAGCUUUGGAUGGUACGGUAUUGGCCUACCAUGGCUUUAACGGGUAACGGGAAAUUAGGGUUUGAUUCCGGAGAGGGGGCCUGAGAGAUGGCCACCACAUCCAAGGAAGGCAGCAGGCGCGUAAAUUACCCAAUCCUAUAACAGGGAGGUAGUGACAAUAAAUAACAAUGCCGGGCCUUUGUAGGUCUGGCAAUUGGAAUGAGAACAAUUUAAAUCUCUUAUCGAGGAUCAAUUGGAGGGCAAGUCUGGUGCCAGCAGCCGCGGUAAUUCCAGCUCCAAUAGCGUAUAUUAAAGUUGUUGCAGUUAAAAAGCUCGUAGUUGGAUUUGUGGCUGGCGCGUGCGGCCUAUCACCCAGUGCCAGCGCUCUGCUCGCGUCGCCAUCUUUGGGUGGAACCUGUGUGGCAUUAGGUUGUCGUGCAGGGGAUGCCCAUCUUUUACUGUGAAAAAAUUAGAGUGUUCAAAGCAGGCUUAUGCCGUUGAAUAUAUUAGCAUGGAAUAAUGAGAUAGGGACCUUGGUACUAUUUUGUUGGUUUGCGCACCAAGGUAAUGAUUAACAGGGACAGUUGGGGGUAUUUGUAUUCCAUUUGUCAGAAGGUGAAAUUCUUGGAUUUUU
rnacentral:rRNA from 1 species